AUCCCGCCUCACGAUGAUGGUGCCCUUCCAGGGUGAAACGGGAACGCGGUGCGAUGCCGCGGCUGCCCCCGCAACUGUAAGCGACGAGUCUGCGCCAACCAGCCACCGCACGAUGCCGGGAAGGCGGCGCCAGGCGAUGACGCGCGAGCCAGGAGACCGGCCAUCUCCUUCUGUCGACGU
rnacentral:ncRNA from 1 species